UUAAACAUACAUACUAAUAUAACACAACUGCGAACUUCGGAAUGAAUUGUUCACGGCCUCACUAUUGAUACCCUAAUUGCUGUACUACAUUGCAAUGGUGUUUAUAUAGUUGUUGCAAAAACUGUUACAGUAUCUGAUUAGGGCCGUAAGUAAUACAGGCCCUAUGCGAUGUUGAAACAUAGGGACAGGCCUAUGUCUUCAUGAAGAAACGUAUCAACGUUAUGUUUGUUCAAGUGUCCCUGGAAAAUGCUGAUCAUGGACUUUGGUUUUAUAUGCACUGCUGCUACAAACAAAGAAUAAGUAUUGUGUGCUUCAGCAACUCUAAAACAUCAGUCAAAUCUAACUCGUGACGCGAGGUAUAGCAGGGCCUACUGUAAUGUCAGAAGUCUGCAAAAAGUCUAACUGUAGAUGGGCGGAUAACAUGGACUUGAUGUUGUUAGAGAUGUGAUAAAAAGCAGACAGAAUGGCAAACUCAUUCACUUCCAGAGAUGUUCUUCUUCUUAUUGGAAUGCACGCAAUUGCUUUCAUUUCAAUUGGCAGCGCAAUUCCGUGUUUUAGUUUUUUCUUGGUCUCCAUCAAAGAAGAGUUCAACACAAGCGCAGGAUUGGUUGGAACAGUUAAUAGUUUGAGCAUUGGACUCACAGCAUUACUAGGUCCAGCAGCAACAACGAUGAGCAGAAAGUAUGGUUACAGAAUGACGAUUGUUGUCGGUGGGUUGUCUUUUUCGAUUGGAAUAAUGCUGAGUUCACAAGUUACACAUGUAUGGCAGCUUUUCUUCACCCACUCCAUCAUGACAGGUACGGUACAUUUGGUAUGAGGUAUAACCGUAUAUUAGUCGCCAAUAUUUGAUUGAAUAUAAACGCUAGCUUUUUAUGAGAGGUGCUAAUCAAAGAAUGGGCAUUUUAUAUAUGCAUAUUUUGCUAGAAAUUUCUUCAAUUAUUGCUUUGCCUCAAAACACCAGAAGAGUUUGUAAAUCAACCAUCAUUCAACAAAUAAUCGAUCUCAUCGAAAGUUAAUAAUUUUGUUUUUCUAAAUAAGCAGUUGAUUUUGUUAUAAUGUAGAAAAACCCUAAAGCUUUGUCCAGAUUAUCAAAUUGUCUUUACCAAAAAACUGUUGUAUGCCCAUAUAUAGCCAUGGUGUACCCAUAUAUGGUCAGGACAGGAUGUGAUGUCAUUAUGACUUUAUUACGGGAUGUCACACGUUUUUGUCAUAUGAAAUUUCAGUCCGGGUAGGGCUUAAGAACGUAUAUCAAUUAAAAUUGAAUUUUUAGUGUUUUGACAGAUUUUAUUAUAGACAGUAUAAUAUAAGGUUGUGAUUCAAUCAAUCAUCAAUGCAUGAAUGAAUUAUAUCUAAUUAGGCCUAAUUCCCCCGAGACCUAAUUUUGUCCAAACUUAUACACAUACAGAUAUAGGCAUAAUAAUAAUAAUACGACAAAUUCACUUUGUCACGGUAACAUGAAGUCAUGGUUCACUUGAAACUACCAAAACAAAUUCGAUUACUGAUGGCACAAUUUAAGAUAGCAACACAAUGGAAGUACAGCAAUUUGAUAUCGAACUUCAGAUAUGUGGUCAUCAGAAUGCGAUAACUAAACUUCAGAGAUACCAUUGUUUGUUUGAUACUCUGUACAAACAUUGAGCAACAUCAAACCAUAAUGAUAAUUUUAAUUGCUGCGAAGCAGCCAAUUCAUAUUCUCGACAGCAA